AUAAACGUGACAGAACGUAAAAUAUGCAAAGCAUGUGAGGAAGACUUAAUUGAGGGCGGCCAAACACAUUGCCUGGUGCCAAAGCUUGUGGCUCCACUUGAGAAAACCCGGGGAUAUCAGACAUUCCAAAAGAAGCAAGCAUCUAUGGAGUCUCUUUGUCGACAUUAACCUCAGUAGGUUCUAAUGGCUGAUUCGUCGCGUCGGGACAAAGUCCAUUCGCCAUUCACGCUCUUUCUCUUGUAGCUAUACGGAGAUUCCACGCACUGGACUUUUUUGGAUAUGUUUGUUCAAGUGGGUGGAGAAUCAGCAAUCUUGUUGCGUCGUGAAGAUUUCUUCACAGUUUUGGUACGAACAACCCAUCUUUCACCACUUUUUUACUUAACUACCCAAUAUUAAGAUAACAACACGAACAGCAAUAAAAGGGUCAACUAUCUACAA